rnacentral:rRNA from 1 species
AUGAUGGAGGGUGAUGUAAUUGACUUCUUCAUUGAUGAUUGGAAGCAAGAUCCCGAUAGAAAUGCUGAUUUCGCAUCUGGGAAAAGGAUAUUGCUGAGUCCAUAUUUCAUCACGGUUGUGCUUGACUGUUCGUUUUACGAGGAUGAAAAUAAAGUGUUUAAUGUGGAGAGUGCAGCGAGAGAUUUCAAGAGCUAUGUUAAAGCUAAUGAAGACUUGCUCAAUGCCGACCUUAUCAUGAUGCCUCUAUUCAAGCCUAUGGGUUUAUCAAAGGAUAGGAAAGUGAGCCACUAUUCCUUAUAUGUCAUGAAUCGGUACCGAAGUAGCGUUGAUAUCCUUGACUCUUUACCUUAUCCGAAGAACCACCAUCCUUCGAAGAACACCUAUCACAAAGACUGCGAGAAGAUUCCACGCAUUGUUGAUUGGAACGCUGAGGAUCUGUAUAGAGCUGUGUUCAACCGUAAUAACCAUCUUAUGGUGACGGAGCUUCCCAAGGAGGUUCAGGCUUUGGCUCCUGAUGCAUAG